CCCCCAUUCAUGCUCUAUCUCUCUCUGUCUCAAAAAUAAAUAAAUGUUCAAAAAAAUAAAUUAAAAAAAAAAACAUUGGAUCUUAAUAGGGACUGGGAAAAGGGUUAAUGAGUAUGAAGGUGAUAAUGUACCUUCGCCUGGUGAUCCUUCAUGUUUGCCUAUCAAAGGAUUUGCUUACUUCUUUUUAGAAAUGUUGGGUUUGGAUGAUGAGUUUUAGUUCAAAAGAGGGACCCGGUUGUAAGGGAAUGCUGAUCUUACUUUUCGGUUGAAAUUACCAUUCUAUAAUUCAAUUGGUGUUUUCCUUCUCCACUACUCAGCUCUUAUUACAUACAUGAAAACAGAAAAGCAUGCAGUUGUCUUUCGUAAUUUCACCGUGAUUGGUGAUACCUCAGAAGUCAAACCUCUGGUCAGUUCUAAAAGGUAUAUGGUUUUAUAAAGUCUCAUCUCUGUGUCUUGCAGAAUGUCCAUCAGUACACUGGGGCGGGACUUAACCUGUGACUGUUCAAGGACUUGUCAGAAUUGGUUUUCAUUAUUGAGUGACUAACUCAUUGAGUCUCUCAUUCGCGUGCCAUGUCCUCCAUUCUGUGUUCAUCGUCUCGCCUUGGGUUUUGCACUCAACUUAUUGUAAUGACUGGAUGCUAGCAAAACCGCAAAUAUCUCGUCAAACAAAAGGUGGAUGCAUUAGGACUUACAAAUAGGAAUGCCUUUCUUAUGACUGUUUGCAUCGUGAGAUGAUUGGCUUCUAGUGUAUUUGUAUUUCUCCGGUUUGGUUGGUGGCUUUUAGAAUUUCCAGUGUGUAGGAAAUAUUAAAAUUGGUUUUACGGUAUCUUUCAUAAGUCACGUUUAUAGAUCUUAUAGCCCUUUUAUAUUAUACAAAAUUAUGAUGCAAAAAUACCAUAAUAUAAACGUAUCUGUGAAAUUUUCUGGGUGUCUUUUUCUAGGUGUCUUUUGACGAAACUUUCCUCUAUUGCACAUGUAGCAGGGGUUUUCAUUGACUUUUAUUCUGAAAGUACUUUCAUUGAGUCUAAUUUGACUGCUUAUUUUCAAGAAACUAAAAAACUCAGGUAUCCUAUUUUAGUUGGUGUUGCUAUAGCAACUAAAUACUAAAGUCUACCCUGGCUGAAGUUGGAUAACUUACUAAUUUCCAUUUGUUUUGCAUGCUACAUUAACGGAUUAAUUUUCAUCGUUUAUCACAUAAUAACCAAAAGAUUAAUGUGUAUCAUCAGUCAAUAAAAUUAUUUUGAUUUUAAUUUUCUUUUUUAACUUUCAGGACACACAUGUAUAACAUUGACAGUUUUGCUUAUGACGCUAGUAACCAUUGGCUAGCUGACUUAGCCGAAGAAGAGAUCAGAAGAAAAUAUACACAAGUGUGCAGAAUAUUUCUAGUUUCUUAGAACCUUGUGGAGGAAUGGACACAAUAAAUGUAAUAGUGCUCGUCGUUUUUCAUGUUAUCACUGUCUUUACGGGGCGUAGGAAAAUCAAUGGAGCAAGUCUGUCCUAAACCUCUUGAAAAUAAAACCACUUGCGAGAUUUAGAGUGAUUACUUUCCUUAAAGCAUAGGAAAGUGCAGAGGUUUGUUCAUGCUUAGAACGUGAACGUGAAUGUGAAGGAAAUAAGUGAGUUUUUUCACUAGAUGUGUAAUGUUACUUUUGUUUACAAAGAAAAUUAAAUAUUAAAAACAGUGAUUGGAUAUUGAAAACAAAAAACCGGAAGUCUCUUCUGAGCAGACUUGCCAAAGAGAGAUGAACCGUAUUGUAAAAUAACUCUUGACUAUUAGGCAUUGUCCUGUUUUCUUAUUCCAUUAUGAUGAGGCUGAAGGCGUUGGCAAAAUUUUUUAAACGAAAAAUAUGCUAAUGACCCAAGAGCACUGAUUUUUCAGGGGUUAGUUGGUGGAAAUGGGGGAACACAGAAUGAAGAAGUAAUUCUUUGGCUAUAAUUUUGUUUAAAAACAAUCUUUUUUUUUUUUUUUUUUGGAGAAAGACCCCUGUGAAAGGUUGAAAGGUAUCUUCAUUGACUUAAUGUCUUUAAAAGUAUAUUACAAUAUUAACAUAAGAGUCUAUAUUUCUGAAGUAGGGGGUGUUCAUAGGCAAAUCCUAAAUCUUAUUCUUUUGUAAUAUUAAGAUUAAUUUAUUUAUAUUUAUUCAUGUCAGUGAACGCAUUGACUUUACAUGUAUAGCAAGAAAAAUUCAAGAAGAUAUGUAAAGAAAAAUUUAUUUUCCCUAAAUGGAAAUAA
rnacentral:lncRNA from 1 species